GAUGAAGAACGUAGCGAAAUGCGAUAAGUAAUGUGAAUUGCAGAAUUCAGUGAAUCAUCGAAUCUUUGAACGCACAUUGCGCCCGCCCGUAUUCUGGCGGGCAUGCCUGUUCGAGCGUCAUUUCAACCAUCAAGCCCCCGGCUUGUGUUGGGGACCUGCGGCUGCCGCAGGCCCUGAAAAGCAGUGGCGGGCUCGCUGUCACACCGAGCGUAGUAGCAUACAUCUCGCUCUGGGCGUGCUGCGGGUUCCGGCCGUUAAACCACCUUCAUAACCCAAGGUUGACCUCGGAUCAGGUAGGAAGACCCGCUGAACUUAAGCAUAUCAAUAAGCGGAGGA
rnacentral:misc_RNA from 1 species